rnacentral:rRNA from 1 species
UACGUAGGGUGCAAGCGUUGUCCGGAAUUAUUGGGCGUAAAGAGCUCGUAGGCGGUCUGUCGCGUCGGCUGUGAAAACCCGGGGCUCAACCCCGGGCCUGCAGUCGAUACGGGCAGACUAGAGUGUGGUAGGGGAGACUGGAAUUCCUGGUGUAGCGGUGAAAUGCGCAGAUAUCAGGAGGAACACCAAUGGCGAAGGCAGCUCGCUGGAACGGAACUGACGCUGAGGCGCGAAAGCGUGGGGAGCGAACAGG